ensembl:lncRNA
UUUAGCUAAUAAACCAAUAUUCAAAACGCUACCGUUUCGUCGUCGAGGGUCGGAUCAAAAAAUUUAUACGGUUCCUUUUCGUGUGUGUCUGAAGAUGUCGUGUGCAAAGUUUGGUGUUGAUCGGGCGAGAAAUGUGGGAGGAGUAGCGAAAAAACAGUUUUGCGGUUUUCGCGAUUUUGCGAAAAAAAAUUCUGGACGCAAAUGGGCGUGGCCUAUGCCAAAAGAUGCAGCAGACUCCAGUGAAUAUGUGGGUACAAGUUUUUGAAUGUGGGAGGUUCGGUGUGGGAGUUAUAGCCCCAAACGCGUAUUCCUUGGUAUAGCGCCACCUAGUGGCCGGCAGGUCUGGAUUUUGUCGUCUGCAUAGUCUUCACGUACCUGGAUCUAGUCAUGUAAUUGGCGUGUGUGCACCAUUUACGGUUUGGGCUGUAGUACCACUUUCUUGGUAGGAAGUAUAAUAAGAAAAAUCCUUACAAAAACAAUAGGGAUCCAACCUGUUGGCUUGGACCCCUAAUAAUA